rnacentral:rRNA from 1 species
GACGAACGCUGGCGGCGUGCUUAACACAUGCAAGUCGAACGGAAAGGCCCUGCUCUUGUGGGGUGGUUGAUUGGCGCACGGGUGAGUAUCACGCGUGUAACCUGCCCUUGAAUUUGGGAUAACUUUAGGAAAAUGGGGCUAAUACCCGAUAGGAGCUUUUGCAGCAUGGUGGGGGUUGGAAAGAUUCGGCGGUUGGGGAUGGAAUCGCGGCUUCUCAGCUUGUUGGUGGGGUUGUGGCUGUCGAAGGCUUUGACGGAUAGCCGGCCUGGGAGGCUGAACGGCCACAUUGCGACUGAGGUACGGCCCAGACUCGUACGGGAGGCAGCAGGGGAGAAUAUUGCACAGUGGGGGGAAGCCUGAUGCAGCAACGCCGCGUGCGUGAUGACGGCCUUCGGGGUAAAAACCGAUUUCGCCUGUGACGAAGCGAGAGUGACGGUAAUGGGUAAAGAAGCACCGGCUAACUACGUG